CUGAGCGAGGUCAGGGAUCAAACCCACAACCUCAUGGCUCCUAGUCGGAUUCAUUUCUGCUGCAUCAUGAUGGGAACUCCACAUUUUCUCCAUUUUUGAAUAGAAACUGUCUGUAAGAAUUAUCUUCUACUUGCCUGCAAUUGAUUGUAUUCUAGAUGUGUGUGUGUGUGUACAGUUGUUUCUUUAGUUUGUAGAUCUUCAGAUUGAGAAGAAAGAUACUCAAGGAGCUAUACCCAAGCAACUAUACCUGAGCAGCUUCAUCUGCACCUGAUCUGACAUAAAUGAUACAGUCUUGGGCUUUGAGCCUGAGCAGAAUGUUAGAAUGCAAUGAGACAUUUGGGAGAAAUGUGAAGGAGGGGUCAGUAUAUAAUACAUGUAGGAGGAAUAUGAACCACUGUAGCCGAAGGCACAUUUUCUGAAGAUUGUUACAAUGUUUUCCAUUCCACAUACUCUUCUAGAACAUUUCCGCUCUCCUUUUGAGAGGUAGACUCUAUAUUCUCCUUGAACUUGGUGGGUUUUUGUGAUUGCCUUGACCAGUAGAGUACAGCAAAAGCGAUGCUACGUAACUUCCAAGACUAGGUCAAAAAUAUGUCAUGCGAUUCCGCCUUGCUAUGUUGGGAUGCUCGCUUUUGGAACCCAGCCCAAUUAGCCAUUGUAAAAGGCCACAGGGAGAGGACUGAGACCCUGUGAACCCAAAGCCCUCCCUGAGGUCCUGGCAGACAGCCAGUACAACUUCCCUGCCGUGUGAGUGAGAAAAAUGAAUGGUUAACGUUUUAAGCCACUCUGCCUUGGGGUGUUUUUUAACAUAGAAUAGAUAACUGAAAUGCACCCCAGAACAUAAUCAUGUAAACAAUAUUUUGUUCCUAAAUCCACAGUUUGGACAGCGAUUGACUGGGACAAGUAUUCUCUGCCUCAGGAAAUCUUAAGUCUUCACUGGGCAGGUUCAAAUAGCUGAGGGCUGGCAUCUUCUGGAGGUUCUUUUUCACUCACAUUUCUAGUGCUUGGGCUGUGAUGCCCAAAGGCUGGGCUCCAGUGGAACAGUGACGGGAAGCGCUUACACUUUGCCUCUCCAUGUAGUUCGGGUUUCCUCACAGCAUCACAGCCUCACAGUAGUCAGACCUCUUAGGGUGGUUCAGGGUUCCAAGAGCAAGUGUUUCCAGCAGACAGGGUGGGACCUUCAUGGCCUUUAUGACCUAGCUUCUGAAGUCGUCAACUCUGCUCUACUGUACGAAUCGAAGCAGUCAGAAAUGUAUGCAGAUUUGAGGGGAGGGGACAUAGAUCUCUCACUUCUUGGUGGCAGAAAUGUCAAAGAAAAGAAUUUAUGGCUAUGUCAUGAAACUGUCACAAAUGAUUUUUCUGUGCUGUGUUAAAUAUCAUUUUCUAUGUAGUUAAAUUGAAGUUUAUAGGUGUUAGGAACUAAGUGUCCCCCGUCCUAUUCAUAUGGUAAAAUCUGAAACCCCAGUGCGAUGGUGUUUGAAAUAAGGGCCUUUGGGAGGUUGUUAGGUCUAAGUGAAGUCAUGAGAGUGAGUCCCCCAUGACAAGAUUAGUGUCCUUAUGAAAAGAGGAAGAGAAACCAGAGCACCCUCUCUCUCCAACAGGUAAGGACACAGGAAGAAGGCAGCUGUCUGUAAGCCAAGAAGAGGCCCCCACCUGGAAGUGAAUCUGCCAGAAGGUUUAUCUUGGACUUUACAGGUUCCCGAAAUCAAUGUUCCAUUUCCUGUGGCUACAGAAUAAAAAACUCUGUGGACAGAUGUAAUUCUCCAAAGAUGUCUGCAACAAAUAACUCCCAUCUCACAUGCUCUUCUAGAAGCUUGCCAUUACUCAUCAGGUUAUAGAGCCCAUACCCAUUUUCCUGGCACCAAUGGUCUUUGUGUCUGCCUCAACCAGGAGUACAGCUGAAGUGAUGCCAUGUGACUUAAAAAGGUAAGGACACAGGAAGAAGGCAGCUGUCUGUAAGCCAAGAAGAGGCCCCCACCUGGAAGUGAAUCUGCCAGAACGUUUAUCUUGGACUUUACAGGUUCCCGAAAUGUGAGAAAGAAAUGUCUGUUGUUUAAGCCACUCCAAUUACGGUAUUUUGUUAUAGAAGCCUGAGCUAAUAGACAGUGCUUCUGGAA